GGGGGUGACUUGGUUUCGAUACCGCCUGAUCAUUCCGGGAAGAAGCGGGUAGGGAAGCGCACGGGAAUCCUUUCAAAAAUCCGGGCAACAAGAGAUGCCAACGCAACACGCUCUGAUCUCGCCCUCGCCGCUUAGUCGGCCGGGGACCUAAUCGAGGUCUGUCUCAAACCGCAUCAGGCAACUGGUUCUCGGCCGCGGUUUAGGCAUCAGCAAAGGAGACCUGGAUGACGGCAGCGUUGCGGGCCGACAUCUGUACCAGCAGCUAGACCGGGACGGGACGUUGUCCGCCAUGCUCCAUCCGGGUCGAUAAGCACCAAGGUGGACUACACCCGUAGAAGAGUUCGGAAUCAGGGGGUACACGAGGGUUCGAAUCCCUCCACCUCCACCA
rnacentral:tmRNA from 1 species